GCGGGAGUAGUUUAGUGGCAGAACUUCAGCUUCCCAAGCUGACCGUGCGGGUUCGAUUCCCGUCUCUCGCUCCA
rnacentral:tRNA from 1 species